GACAGAGGGUGCAAACGUUGUUCGGAAUUACUGGGCGUAAAGCGAGUGUAGGCGGUCUCAUAAGUCGGGGUGUGAAAGCCCUGGGCUCAACCCAGGAAGUGCACUCGAUACUGCGAGGCUAGAGUAUCGGAGAGGUUGGUGGAAUUCUCGGUGUAGAGGUGAAAUUCGUAGAUAUCGAGAGGAACACCGGUGGCGAAAGGCGGC
rnacentral:rRNA from 1 species